AUGCAACAAAAAUCUGGGAAAAAGUUAACAACAACAAAUUGUAAACCAAACAGAAAAAGGAAGGAGAAUCGAACAGACGCGUCAAACGAUGUUCCCGACAACCACGAACUAGAGCAGCCACCGCGAGAUGUGGUCACUCCACCAUCCACAUUUCUGGCCAGAAUCCGCGCACCACUUCCAACUCGCAAGCCUCCAUACGCGAUGCACCUCACUCCGCCAAAGAACGCCGCCCAUCAGCUCGACGUCAGCUCCUCACCACCGCCGCGAAUUCGCCUGCAAAGUCGACGACGCUUCAUCUAUCUCGCAUGCGGUCGUACCUCGCCAGCAAUCUCUCCGCUCAACAACAACGCAUGCUCAACUCUUACGCCGUGA